ACGUAGGGGGCGGGCGUUGUUCGGAAUUACUGGGCGUAAAGGGCAUGUAGGCGGUUUUGUAAGCUUGACGUGAAAGACCGCGGCUCAACCGUGGGGGUGCGUUGAGAACUGCGAGGCUUGAGUGACGGAGAGGGAGCUAGAAUUCCUGGUGUAGGGGUGGAAUCUGUGGAUAUCAGGAAUAAUACCAAUGUCGAAGGCAAGCUCCUGGCCGAUGACUGACGCUGAGGUGCGAAAGUGUGGGGAUCAAACAG
rnacentral:rRNA from 1 species